GAUGAACGCUGGCGGCGUGCCUAAUACAUGCAAGUCGAGCGAACAGACGAGGAGCUUGCUCCUCUGACGUUAGCGGCGGACGGGUGAGUAACACGUGGAUAACCUACCUAUAAGACUGGGAUAACUUCGGGAAACCGGAGCUAAUACCGGAUAAUAUAUUGAACCGCAUGGUUCAAUAGUGAAAGACGGUUUUGCUGUCACUUAUAGAUGGAUCCGCGCCGCAUUAGCUAGUUGGUAAGGUAACGGCUUACCAAGGCAACGAUGCGUAGCCGACCUGAGAGGGUGCGCGGAAAGCGGGGAACUGAGAGACGGGCCAGACGCCGACGGGAGGAAGCAGUGGGGAAUAUUGAACAAUGGAGGGAAGCAUGAUGAAGCAACGCCGGGGGCGGGAGGAAGGCCGUCGGGUUGUAAACCGAUGUCGCCGGGGACGAAGCGGGAGUGACGGGAAGGGGUAAAGAAGGACCGGCUAACUACGUG
rnacentral:rRNA from 1 species